GAGUGAGAGAGAGAGAGAGAGAGAGAGAGAGAGAGAGAGGAGGGGGGCUGUGGAUGAGAAAGGGUUUCUCUCUCUCUUCCUCUCUCUCUCAGAGCUCAGUUAAUCCUGCUGUCA